rnacentral:ncRNA from 1 species
GGCCUCGAGGAUUAAAAGGGAAUCGGGUGAAAAUCCCGGACAGUCCCGCUGCUGUGAAGCUCCGCCAACCGCUCGAAUUCUAUACGCCACUGAUUGCAAUAUCGGGAAGGCCUCGAGUGGGGAGUCAGUCAGAAGACCUGCCGUCAGUUUUUG